UUAUACAUACAAAAUAAAUAGAUUUAAAUCUACUUAAUAAAUAAAUAUAUAUAUAUACACACACACACACCAUUGAACUUCACGGGAUACGAAUUAUACGAAACUAAUUUCAACAAUCCAACCGUCAAACAUGUUUGUAUAUACUUCGAGAUCGCAUACGCCAAAAUUGCAAAAAACAAACAUUCAGAGAUCAAGUAAUGGGACAAAAGUUUUCGACGGUUAUAAACGAAAAAUCACGAUUUAACGGUUAAUUUAACUCCGAUUUUGAUGAUUUUUUACAACUACACUCCUUGACCCUAUAUGAAUACAAGUAAUGAAUUCGAUCUUCAAUUUAAAAUAUUUACACUAGUGGAUACCACAAAAUCUUAUGUAAUACUUAAUAAAAGUAUGAAUAAACUAUUAAGUAUUAGUGAAUCUAUUGUUUUGAUGGGAUACUCAUUAUACGAAACUAGUUUCAAAGAUCCAACCAUCAAAUAUGUUUGUAUAUACUUCGAGAUCGCAUACAUCAAAAAUUACAAAAAACAAACAUUCAGAGAUCAAUUAACGGGACAAAACUUUUCGACGGUUAUAAAAAGAAAAAUCACGAUUUAACGGUCAUUUUAACUCUGAUUUUGAUGAUUUUUUACAACCACACUCCUUGACCCUAUAUGAAUACAAUGAUUGAAUUCGAUCUUCAAUUUAAAAUAUUUACACUAGUGGAAACCAUAAAAUCUUAUAUUAUACUUAAUAAAAGUAUGAAUAAACUAUUACGUAU
rnacentral:lncRNA from 1 species